AGAAAAGACUCGGGAGCAGAUGCAAAGCCAGGCUUGAGAACGGAAGGAACAAAAGGCUUCUCCUGGGUGCUUGGAGGAACGGUGCAGCGUUGGUGCAGCCCAGGACAAAGUCCACCAAUGCUGUGGGGUCUUGCCGUUGAUUCAGGACGUGGUUUCAGUGGGGCACCAGGAGCCUCUAUUCAUGCGGAUUUCCUGUGUUCUCCUUGAAGCAGUGGAAGAAACCAAAGGAGCUGUGGCUUCCUCCAGAAUCUCCACCAUUCAGAAAAAAAAAAGGUGGACCUCAGGUGCUGCGAGCUGCUGUAGCGCGACAUUCCCUCCAGCCUUGACAGAACCAGGAGACAGAAGAGUAAAGGAACAUGCGUGCAGCUUGAAAGCAGCAUCAGCAACAACGUUUGCACUGGAAGGCUCAAUGCCUGGACGAAGAUAAGUGCACUUUUCAGAGUGGGAACCAGUCAGGGAUGAAAGGUCAUGAAGGACGCG